GGCAGCGGCAGCCCGGGCUCUCGGAUGCGCGCAGGGCUACCUUUCCCCCGUUUGUUUUUUUUUCCUUUCUCAGCAGCCCGCCCUGCUGCCGGGCCAAGGAGAGCGGCCGCCCCGAUGCCCGAAGGUGCCGGGUGCUGCCGGCCGCUCGCCUGGGGGGACAGCGGCGCGCCCCGCUGUCCCCGCACACACCGGGGACGGCUCCGCUGGUUCCUCACAGGGAAGAAGCCCCCAGCCCCUGGACAGGUCUGUCCGCGGCCACAAGGUUAUAAAUGUUGGCGAAAUUUCAGCUCAUUCAAAAUCGGCAGCAGAGCUCUGUUUUCAGUGGGACAAGGGGCUGAGUAAAAGGAUGUGAUUGAAAAGGAAGCUGGGAAGGCAGAAGCAGAUUGUUCUUCCUGCAUUGAGACACAUGGAUAGACUCAUCCUAUACACAACUGACAGGGGAUAGAGGCUGGGGAAACAGCUGAUUGUGAGUUUAUCUGAAAUUUAACAGAGUUGUCUUUAGAGGCAGAGGGCCCAGAACGUGUUCUGGCAAAGGAAAAGGAAAAGACUUAAAUUCUUAGAGUGUGGAUACAUUGGGUUAGAAGAUGAACAUGAGAAGUCUGAGAAACAGGCAUGGCACUACCUCAUGGAAAAAUAAGAGGCAAGGACCACUGGCUUGAACAAGUACGUGACAAUUCUUAGGAUGCCUGUGCUGAAAGACUUCUCUUAAUGGACCCUCGUUGGGUUUGGUUUCAUUGGUUCCAGAAUGGGAUUGCCCUUCUUGCUGUUGCUGCAGGCUCAUGAUCUGGAUCCAACCCCAGGACUCAAGCAGGACUGAAGGACACAUGGGAUGCUGAUUUGCUCUCCCCGAGGUGCUGCAAGCUGGUUCACUGCCUGCUGGAGGGUGGCUCUAAGACCUGAUUUAACCUGAAGCAUGCACUUCCUCAGGAGGUCUGCAGCAGGGCUGGAAGACUGCAAGCACUGCUUCCCUUCCCUCCUGUCACCUGCUGCCUCACAACUGCAGUGCCUGUGCUGUGCUCUCAGCUCCCUCACCCUGAAAUGUUCCUUGUGGUGGUUUGUAUGAAGCUGCCUUGGAGCAGGCUUUGCUUUUGGUAGCAGUAUCCCUUCUUGCCAUGCCAUUCAUGAAGAAGAUGGCUUUAUCCUUGCCUUUAUUCCACUGGGACCAGCUGCUCUACCCACAGGCACCAAAAGUGGCAAAUCUUCCAUAAGCUUUUUUAAUUUUCAAUUUAAACUCUACAUCACAUGAACUUCUUGGGGUUUUUUGAGAGGUAAAGACCUUUUUUUCUUUUUUUUUUUUAGAAACAACACCCAAAAUAAAAACCCAAACACCACAGCCCAACAAACUCAAAACUAACAGAAAAAAAAUCAAAACCCACACAUUGAACCCAAGUUGGAGAAAUAACUGCACUGUGUGACUGAUACAAUCCAUGGGAGUACAAAGCAUUCCAAUCUGAUCUUGCACAUCCACUCCCUGUACCUAUUAAUAGCUUUUAGACGUGAGCAUAUAUGUGGAGAUGUGCAAGAGUAGUUUGCCAUGCAAACAUUUGUCUGGCAGCCAUACUGUUUUCUAGUUUUCUUCACACUAAAGAUUUUAGUGUGCUAAAGGGGACAUUUUAAAGCAUUGUUGGAGAUAGGGGGGAUGUAAGUGCCCUUAAACUGAGGUUGGAUUAGGUGUUCUAACAUCUUGGAGUCUGCCAGUUAAUAGCAAAGUAUAUGAGCAAUGGAAAUAUGUCCUUCUUAAUCUCUAAAAAGAAAAGGACUGUUUUGAAAAUCCAUCAGUCUUUCAAAUCAUCUUAAGGCAAUUGAUCCUCUAUCAUCACAGGGGAAUUCAACAGGGGUGUUCUUGUUAGUGAUCUAAAAAUAUAAAUGUUGUUGAAUACAUGCAAAAUUGUAUCUUAUUCUAGUUGUCUUUAUUACUGCAAUAAAUGAUACCAACUCUCUCUUC